rnacentral:tRNA from 1 species
GCGGCGAUGGCGGAAUGGCAGACGCGCUGGCUUCAGGAGCCAGUGUCCGCAAGGACGUGUGGGUUCAACUCCCUCUCGCCGCA